GCGAGGGUACCAAAGCCUGGCCAAAUGGGCCGGACUUAAGAUCCGGUUUCGAAGGAAUCCAAGGGUUCAAAUCCCUUCCCUCGCA
rfam:Methanospirillum hungatei JF-1, complete genome.